rnacentral:sRNA from 1 species
GCUGGACACUGGAAGGCUGCGGGAAGGGAAUUGAACAGGAGAAACACUCUUAUGGGAGUGGAUUUUUACACGCACACCCCACGUAAAUUAAAUCACUGUGGCUUCAGUGUGACUGCCUUUCUGAAAGGCUGAAAGUAGAAAACUCUGGAAUGGAGAGGCUGGCAACUGGAGCAGGAUUCGAAGGCUUUAAAUUUUAACCCGCGUUCGAUCGAAAGUUACUACCACAAGAGACUGGCACCGGCCGGCCCAAUUCCCACCAUGGCUUCCAGAGGCUUGCUUUGGGGUUGUCCGAAAAGGGAGAGACGGACAUUCCUGGACUAACAGACAGUGCUGUGCCUUGGUGAUUGGGGCCCCAAAGAGCUCACAGAAUCUGAAAUCUCUGAGGAAUAUCAUGCCUACUAAUAUGAAAGCCCUAAGCAAAGAAGGUCAGAAGCCCAGGGCCAAAGCAGUUAAGAUUCAUCAUCCCAUGUGUUCCGCAACACAAGCGCUCUGAAGGAAGAGUUCACUGACACAAACAUGGAGUAUAUGACAAGCUGUUCAUCAAGAGAGUGAAGAAGACAAAGAACCCAGGGAAGAGAUCGCCAGGAGUCACCAGUUGUCCUCACUGAGAGCCUAUACCUCCAAGCCUAAGUCCAGGCAAAAAAUGUCUUACAGGAUAUGGUCUGAGUAGUCCAACCAUGGAUAUGUCAUACUGGAGCAGCUGAGAACCUGGCAAUAGUCCACAAUGCUGGAUGUCUCCACAGUCCCAACCUGACACCAGAGACAUGGAGGACUCCUGAAGAACUUCUGGUCCUUAAGUGCACACUGGAAGCCCAGAGAAGCUAGCUCUAAUAUCAACCAAGAAUGCAGCAGAACAGGAGAUAGGCUUGCCCUCUCAUCAUCCAGGCUGCAACCAACCAAAAGACACUUUUGUGGAUUUGUAGUCUUUGCUUUUUCUGGACAGGGUUUCUCUGUAUAUCCCCAGCUGUCCUGGAACUCUCUAUACAGGCCAGUCUGGCCUUGAACUUAGAGAUCUUCCUACCUCUGCCUCCCUGAGCACUGGAAUUAAAGGCUUAUGCCACCUCACCCUGCUAAUACCGCCCACUUUUAGGAUACAUCUUUCUGCUUCAAAUGAUCAGAUCAAGAAGAGUCUUUUGAAAGAGCAGGAGGUUUGUGUUAUUCCAGAUCUAAUCUACUUGACAGGUAAGACUGGAGUUCCACCACUGGGACCCCACAGCAGAAGGAUGGACUCCCACAAGCUGUCCUCUGACCUCCAUACAAACCUUAUGGUGCAUGUUUGAGGAUAUACAUUUGAGUGUUUGCGCAUAUACACAAAAUGAAUAGAUGUAUUAAAAAGGAUUUUUAAAACCUUA